rnacentral:rRNA from 1 species
UACGUAGGGUGCGAGCGUUAAUCGGAAUUACUGGGCGUAAAGCGUGCGCAGGCGGUUCGUUGUGUCGGCGGGGAAAGCCCCGGGCUCAACCUGGGAACCGCGCUUGAGACUGGCGGGCUAGAGUUCGGGAGAGGAUGGUGGAAUUCCCAGUGUAGAGGUGAAAUUCGUAGAUAUUGGGAAGAACACCGAUGGCGAAGGCAGCCAUCUGGACCGACACUGACGCUGAGGCGCGAAAGCGUGGGGAGCAAACAGG